rnacentral:rRNA from 1 species
UACGUAGGUGGCAAGCGUUGUCCGGAUUUACUGGGCGUAAAGGGUGCGUAGGCGGCGCGGUAAGUCGGGUGUGAAAUCUCGGAGCUUAACUCCGAAACUGCAUUCGAUACUGCCGUGCUUGAGGACUGGAGAGGAGACUGGAAUUUACGGUGUAGCGGUGAAAUGCGUAGAUAUCGUAAGGAAGACCAGUGGCGAAGGCGGGUCUCUGGACAGUUCCUGACGCUGAGGCACGAAGGUCAGGGGAGCAAACGGG